UACGUAGGGAGCAAGCGUUGUUCGGAUUUAUUGGGCGUAAAGAGCGUGUAGGCGGCCAGACAGGUCCGUUGUGAAAACUCGAGGCUCAACCUCGAGAUGUCGAUGGAAACCGUCUGGCUAGAGUCCGGAAGAGGAGUGUGGAAUUCCUGGUGUAGCGGUGAAAUGCGCAGAUAUCAGGAAGAACACCUAUGGCGAAGGCAGCACGCUGGGACGGUACUGACGCUGAGACGCGAAAGCGUGGGGAGCGAACAGG
rnacentral:rRNA from 1 species